UCCCCGGUAGCUCAGUUGGUAGAGCGACGGACUGUUAAUCCGUUGGUCGCUGGUUCGAGUCCGGCCCGGGGAGCCA
rnacentral:tRNA from 3 species